rnacentral:rRNA from 1 species
CCCUUAGAUGUCCUGGGCUGCACGCGCGCUACACUGGAAGUUACGGAUUGAGAUACUACCUUGUCCGAAAUGGUCCGGGUAAUCACCUAAAAGCUUGUCAUAAUUGGAAUGGAUUAUUGUAACUAGUAAUCCUGAACGAGGAAUUCCUAGUAAGUCCCAGUCAACAGCUGGUACUGAUUACGUCCCUGCCCUUUGUACACACCGCCCGUCGCUACUACUGAUUGGACGUUUAAGCAAGAUUUUUAAACACUGACAGUGUGUAGUUCACGCUAUACUACAGUGAGAAGAAGAAGUUCGAGCUUACUUGUCUAGAGGAAGUAAAAGUCGUAACA